UACGGAGGGAGCUAGCGUUGUUCGGAAUACUGGGCGUAAAGCGUGCGCAGACGGUUGCGUAAGUCAGAUGUGAAAGCCCCCGGGCUCAAACCUGGGAAUUGCAUUUGAGACUGCGUAGCUAGGGUGCGGAAGAGGGAAGCGGAAUUUCCGGUGUAGCGGUGAAAUGCGUAGAUAUCGGAAGGAACACCAGUGGCGAAAGCGGCUUCCUGGUCCAGCACCGACGUUCAGGCACGAAAGCGUGGGGAGCAACAGGAUUAGAAACCCCAGGUAGGUCCAAGAACCCGAAGUCCUCCUGCUCCG
rnacentral:rRNA from 1 species